UGCCCAAGACUAACAAUCUUAAUGAUCACACUCUUCAAUCUCAGAGUUCAAUAACAGGACUUGUAAACUGCCCACCGUAGAACACCAAUUCCUCGAAAGAUGGCUCAUUCUCCACUUUGCUCCUGAAUCGAAACCCUUGUCCGCUACUACAAAUAAGGUAUCGUAGAGGGACAAGAUCUCUCUAUGGGAGCUGAAGAAUAUAACAAAGAUUUGAUACUUUGUUGGUUCUCUUUUACUCACUGUGCAGAUUGAUU
rnacentral:misc_RNA from 1 species